rnacentral:SRP_RNA from 1 species
UGGUCCUCUCGCAACAAUAGCUCGUGAACUCGGUCAGGUCCGGAAGGAAGCAGCCGCAGCGUGUGACUUGUGUGCCGGGAUGUGGCUG